ACUCAAAUGAAUUGACGGGGGCCCGCACAAGCGGUGGAGCAUGUGGUUUAAUUCGACGCAACGCGCAGAACCUUACCAGCCCUUGACAUCCCGGUCGCGGUUUCCAGAGACGGAGACCUUCAGUUCGGCUGGACCGGAGACAGGUGCUGCAUGGCUGUCGUCAGCUCGUGUCGUGAGAUGUUGGGUUAAGUCCCGCAACGAGCGCAACCCCCGUCUUUAGUUGCCAUCAUUCAGUUGGGCACUCUAAAGAGACUGCCGGUGAUAAGCCGCGAGGAAGGUGGGGAUGACGUCAAGUCCUCAUGGCCCUUACGGGCUGGGCUACACACGUGCUACAAUGGCGGUGACAAUGGGACGCGAAGGGGCAACCCCUAGCAAAUCUCAAAAAGCCGUCUCAGUUCGGAUUGGGCUCUGCAACUCGAGCCCAUGAAGUUGGAAUCGCUAGUAAUCGUGGAUCAGCACGCCACGGUGAAUACGUUCCCGGGCCUUGCACACACCGCCCGU
rnacentral:rRNA from 1 species